GAGGAAAGUCCGGGCUCUAAUUAAGGGAUAUAGCUGUAUGGAAACAGUGUAGGUAACUGCGAGGAAAGUGCCACAGAAACAAACCGCCUUUUAAUUAACAAGGUAAGGGUGCAAAGGUGUGGUAAAAGCAUACCAGAAGUAUUGCAAAAUACUUGCUAGGUAAACCCCAUAUAAAGAGCAAGGUAAUAAACUAAAGUGCAUAAAAGUAUCUACCUUUAAUAUCUUUAAGACAAGACUAAAAGUCAAUACUGCAAACAAAUUAUAUGCAAAUAUAAAUCAAAGAUUAAUAACUGCCCUUAAGAAACACAAACUAGAUUUUAAUUAAGAACAAAAUCCGGCUUAC
rnacentral:RNase_P_RNA from 1 species